ensembl:lncRNA
GGACGACUCUCAACCGUCUGGCUGGAAGUCACAGAGCAGCCAAGUGUGGUCUCCAUAUCGACUGGUGGACUGUUGGGGAGAGGAAAGCUCAGGGGACGCGGCGGAACCUUCCAGACGGUCUCAGCCCAAAACCACUUCCAGAGAUACUGGACAACGGAACAUAUGCUUCAUCACAAAGGACACGGCUGGCAGAGUGCACCUUUUCUCAAGUACCACUUUGAAUGUCGGCCCAUACAGCAGGUGCAGCUCUGGAGAGGAAAGCACGGUCUUCACAGCUGCUCUGUAAACAGCGGAACGCUACAACACACUGCACGGUUCAUCAUCCCGUGGUCGUCUUCCUGUCCGACUGCCUUCUGACGUGAUUGGCCACCGCGGCAUGAUCCAAUCUGUGACCUCCCACUGUUUUAUCACGAGCAGCCAGUGAGGAGGGCGCUCCCACAGCCCUCAUCUGCACCACCUUCUGCCGGCCACUGAUGCUUUCCCCGGGGGCUCUCAAGAGCCGCACCGCCCGCCCCCACUGUGCAGCCAAAUCCAGCGUGAUUAUCUACAUAUUGUCCCAACUGGGACCCAACGCGCCUUGAUUCUGCUGAUGUGGGGCCCUGCUGGGCAGGGGGGCCCCGCGGCGCCCUGUGGCUGCCACACACAUGAGAGAAGCUCCAUCACAUCCCGUCAGGUCUCCCCUUCGCUCAGCCAGACUGCAGACCCUUAAUGCAUCAACAUUUAAUGAGCAGCCGUCCGCCCUGCGCGUGCGGCUUCUGUUGGAGCAGCAGCCCGACACGGGGAGGUCAGCCCGGAUCAGAUCCAGGCGGCUGACACCUGUACCGCACCGCUUCACGCUCAGCCGUCAACCACACAGUGGGAGGAGAAUCAGCACGCUGAAACAGGAGUUACAGAGGAAAGACACAGGCUGCUAUUGUUUUAUCUAGUCUCAUAAUAAUUCCCAAACAUUCUGCAACAUCGACUCGGAUUUCCGUCAGGCAAAAGCCAGAUCAUUGAUGUAAUUGGUCCAGGAUUUGUGUUCUACAUCAGUGUGAAAAAUAGGGAAAUAGCUGAGCGUGAUGGUUCCCCUUCUAUUGAGCUAGUUCCUGCCCACAAUAAAUAUUAAAAAGCCG